UGUGGUGUACCCUAGCGGCAAGGGGUCAAACUGUUAAUUUGAAAGCCGUAGGUUCGAAUCCUACCGCCACAG
rnacentral:tRNA from 1 species